rnacentral:rRNA from 1 species
UACGGAGGGUGCAAACGUUGCUCGGAAUCAUUGGGCGUAAAGCGCGCGUAGGCGGCUCGGAAAGUCGGGCGUGAAAUGCCGGGGCUCAACCCCGGGACUGCGUCCGAUACUUCCGAGCUGGAGGUAGGUAGGGGAGAUCGGAAUUCCUGGUGUAGCGGUGAAAUGCGCAGAUAUCAGGAGGAACACCGGUGGCGAAGGCGGAUCUCUGGGCCUUACCUGACGCUGAGGCGCGAAAGCUAGGGGAGCAAACGGG